rnacentral:ncRNA from 2 species
GCCGUAAGCCCAGGCUGCCGUACGAAGCGCCCCGCGGGGGAAGUCCGGUCGAAGUCCGGCGCUGACCCGCAACGGUAGGCGGAGCACUGAGGAGUGCUCCGCGAGCCCGAUCACCCGCGGCGGUGUCAGCUCCUGA